GACGAACGCUGGCGGCGUGCUUAACACAUGCAAGUCGAACGGAAAGGCCUGCUUUCCCUUGUGGAUUGAGGGUACACGAGCGGCGAACGGGUGAGUAACACGUGAGUGAUCUGUCCCAAACUUGGGUAUAAGCCCGGGAAACUGGGACUAAUUACCGAUAGGACUGCAGGGAGGUGCGAGUGGUGGAAAACGAUUUUCUAGUGGUUGGGGAUGAGCUCGCGGCCUAUUAGCUUGUUGGUGGGGUAAUGGCCUACCAAGGCGGCGACGGGUAGUCGGCGUGAGAGUAGACACAGCCAUAAUGGGACCGAGAUCAGGCUCAGACGGCUGCCGGAGGCGGCCGUGAGGAGUCACGCAGUACGGGCCGGAGCCAGAAGCAGCGACGCCGCGUGGAGGAUAACGGCAUUCGGCAUGUAAACUCCUGUGGACCGCCAGAACCCCACCUGGUUCGAAGCGUGCUGACGGUAGUAAAAGAAUAAGCACCGGCUAACUACGUG
rnacentral:rRNA from 1 species